rnacentral:sRNA from 2 species
CGUCAAGAGUCUUGGCACCGUUUUGGUGAGCGAAUUUCUUUUGCCUUUGUAAAGGUGGAAGAA